AAAAUAUGUAUAUACUAGAUUUUCACCCGCGGUAUACCGCGGAGACAAUUUAUACUUUAAAAUUAGUAUAUAUAAAAGUUUACAAUUUGUAACUAUCUAUGUAACUAUCUAUAAAAUAUUUUUAUUUUCUAGUUAAGAAUUGUUAUUAAGUAACGUCCUGCCAAACCCGUUCCGCCAACCCGUCCCGUUUUAUUUUAUUAAUGUUGAUCUUAUUUAUCAUAUGUUUAUGAAUCAUUUAUUUUUAAAAUUAUCUAGUAAUUAAAUGCUAUCAAAUAUCUCUACGGUUUGAUGAUUAUAAUUGAAUUGUAAUAGUCAUGCAGAAAAACAAUAUCAAUAAUGAUAAUUUUGUAGUAAUUAAAUGAUAUUAAAUAUUUUGAAAGUUUUAUUUUAGUAACCAAUCGUGUAGUUAAUGUAGAGAGAUUUUAGGGAAAUUGUUAAAUAUCAAAUAUUUAAUUCGAAA
rnacentral:sRNA from 1 species